CAUCUCUGGUUUCUCUUCAGAGCGUAAAAAUCUUUCGCCUUUUACUAAAGAUUUCCGUGGAGAGGAACAACCAAGAGGUUGUUGGAAUUUUUGCAGGCCUGACUAUGGUCAGGCG
ensembl:snRNA U5 U5 spliceosomal RNA